UUUUUUCAGAAAACCUGCGCAUGUGAUGUUAGAAGAAGAAGUAAAGAGAUUGAAAGAAUAAAACUGCUGAAUGUCAAACUCACAAGGACUUACUGAAAUUCAGGACAAAAUCCAAAUUCAGAAAGUACAAUAGCAUGGAGAAACUGAGCAGUCUGAAUUGGAAAUCAUAAUUUUGAGAUAUGGAGAUAAUGAAGGAGGCACUUGGGAGCUGGCCCAGCAAGUGCUUGCAUUCAUACCAUGUUCAACUCUGAGCCUGGGCACUCUGUACCACUGCACCAGUUAAGGGUCUGUGAGGAAUAUUUCUGCUAUAAAUCUGGAAGAUUAUAUCUCUGUCUUCUCAUAUUGCAUCAUCCUGAAACCUGACAAGUUGUCAGUGGAGAGGCAAUUAUUUCUACCAAAACAUGGAGAACAUAAUGUACAUUUCUAAGAAUGGACUGCUGGAGAAAUGGUUGACUCCCUUCCUCCCAAACCUGGCAUAAUUGAAAAAGCCAAGAGAGAAUAAGUAUUGCCUGAACUCUUAUAGCUCUAAUAAUUU